rnacentral:rRNA from 1 species
GACGAACGCUGGCGGCGUGCUUAACACAUGCAAGUCGAACGGAAAGGCCCUGCGUUUGUGGGGUGCUCGAGUGGCGAACGGGUGAGUAACACGUGAGUAACAUGCCCUUGACUUUGUGAUAACUUUAGGAAACUGGGGCUAAUACCGGAUAGGAUCUCCUGCUGCAUGGUGGUGGUUGGAAAGUUUCGGCGGUUGGGGAUGGACUCGCGGCUUACCAGCUUGUUGGGGGGGUAGUGGCUUACCAAGUUUUCGACGGGUAGGCGGCAUGAGAGGGUUGCCGGCCUCAAUGGGACUGAGAGACGGCGCAGACGCCUACGGGAGGCAGCAGUGGGGAAUAUUGCAGAAUGGCCGGAAGCCUGAUGCAGCAACGUCGCGUGCGGGAUGACGGCCUACGAGUUGUAAACCGAUUUCGCCGGUAACGAAGCGUGAGUGACGGUAAUGAGUAAAAAAGCAACGGCUAACUACGUG